UGUUAUGGAGAAUUCUGUCAACGUGCUGACCGUAUUAUAGUGCAGGGAUUACACGAUUACUGAAGGAGGUACACGCCUUGGUAGUGAUGGAAAUAUCCCUGGAAGAUGAGAUUAAGAAAAUUCUGAACAAGCUACGUGGCUACGGUUAUGCGUACUUACUACUUAGUGAGAAGAUGCGCGUUCAUUGCCAGCCCCUUCAGGUGGACCAGUGUCAACCCUAAAAAGAUGACUGAUAAUGGUCACAAGGAAGAAAAGAUGGUGAGCUACACUUGAUGCUAAACGUGUCUACACAAUAAAAUCAGCAGAACAGUUCAUAAAAGAAAUGUAAUCCAUUCACAGUGCAUGCACAGAUGUAGUAGGCCCUACUGUUACAAAGAAGACUACUGUGGUGCAUUAUCUGGUUAGGAAACAUCAAGACCAUAUCAAAGGAAAAAUAUGAAGACCAUAAACAAGAGAAAUUGCUCAGCUACAGUUGCAGUUAAAUGUGUCAGUCUUUGCCAAGUUUUCUAUUCAAGAAGCAAAUAACUGGAAAACGGAAGAGACCAGUCAGGCUGAAGGAGAUGGAAAUGGCAGAGACUGCCACUGUCUGCAACCGCUAAACAGUUGGGUCCAUGGGCCACUGUCAAGACUGAC